AAGGAUUUAAGUUAAUUUAAACUAUUAACCUUCAAAGUUAAAAAUAUUUUUAAAAAAAUUAAACCUUA
rnacentral:tRNA from 1 species